UGUACGUACAGAGUAUAACAGUGAUGUGGAUGAAUCCAACUUAUGCGCCAACAAUUCUAAAGCAACCCUCUGUACUUUCGAUAUUGGUGACCCAUUGAUUUCUAUACGAGGAGAGUACUUAUGGGGAAUAGCGACUGAUGAAUAUGCGUGUGCAGGCAGUAUGUCGACGUAGAGUCGAAUGGACAAUCCGUACUUUUAAUUAAACUUGAAUUUGUCUUGCCUUUUCCAUAGAAUCCUCCGAUGUAUUUACCCGAGUAGACUACCACAUGGACUGGAUUCUCAGAACAAUUGAUAAAAAUUCGUCAACACGUCACAAACAACAGGCAAUCAUAAUGGGAACAGCAAUUAUUGUACUUUGGAUAAUUGGACGUAAUUCAUUAACGGAUAAGGUGUGGCAUAUGAAGUCCAAAUUUUCAGUAAAAACGUUCUUUGAACACAUACUCUUUCGAGAUU